GUACGAAAACUCCACAAUGCACGGAAGUGUGAUGGGGGGAUUCUGAGUGCUUACGGUUUACCCGUAGGCUUUUCAUCAGAGCAAAUAUCUGGUGGAAUAAGUGGUGGGCAAGACUGGUGCCAGCCGCCGCGGUAACCCCAGCGCCACAAGUGGGAACCACGCUUAUUGGGUCUAAAGCAUCCGUAGCCGGUCUAGCAAAUGCCCUGUGAAAUCGUUGCGCUCAACGUAACGACGUGCAGGGUAGACUACUAGACUUGGGACCAGAGGAAGAAGACGGUAUUCUCGGGGGAGCGGUAAAAUGUGAUAAUCCCGAGAGGACCACCGAUGGCGAAGGCAGUCUUCUAAUAUGGAUCCGACGGUGAGGGAUGAAAGCUAGGGGAGCGAUCUGG
rnacentral:rRNA from 1 species